rnacentral:lncRNA from 1 species
UGCUAUGUAUGAACUUUCCUAGAAGAGAAGCUGGAGUGUGACCAUGACAUCUGCCAGUGGAAGUGGAGACAGUCACAUCCUCAUUAAGAGGGGGCUCAAACUUCAGUGUGCGUGAGAAUUACUCAGACAGCUUAUUCGGUCACAGAUGGCUGAUUCAGUAGGGCUGAACCAGACUCAGAACACUUGGUCUAUAGGAACCACAGGAGGUUAGAGAAGGGGAAAACCAGCACAGACUCUGGUGGUGGAGAAGUUCAGGUAAGUGUGUGAUUCUGCUGGUUCCUUUGCUUGAGUGUUGGCCUCACUUUAGGUGGGGCUUGGUGGAUCUUUCAGUGACUUCAGAAAGUGAGUGGAAUGAAGUGGAGCCUCAUUUGGUUUGGCAGAAGAUUGGGGUAUUUGGAUAGGUCGUGAUCAGGAUGGGAGAUGUUGUAGACCAGGGAAACCCUGUGAACAAAAUCACCACACCUGAAAUGAUCUCUGAAUGUCCUGUUCACCCUGUUGGGAAAGCUCAGCUCCAUCCAAUCACAUGGGUAAGAUUCAUUUCUCUCUCUUCAUUCCAGUCAUAUUAUGACUUCUUUGAAAAAUGUCAGUGGUAAACUCAGAUUGAUGGAAAGACCUGACACAGAUACCCUCCAGGCAAGUCAAAGAAAGGUCACUUCUAGCUUCAUAAUAGCAUCUGUAAACUAUAGUAGAAAUUGAGUGUGAGCCUGGGUAUGAUGUACCCGAACCUCGGGGGGUUGGGCAGUUGUAGAUGACAAAGCCUAAGCUGAUGAGGUCACGUUAAACUUGUAGAAGUUCAAUUCACCUCCACUCCCAGCCUCUGUAAAGAGUGGUUCUGCAUCAAGGCUAGUCCAGGUAUGUGUCAGAGACCAGCUCACCUGAGCCAGGUGCAUACAUCAAUCUGCAGUUGUACAGGCUAUAAUAUGACUGCAGAGGAUGGCACAGUGUAGCCCACUGGGGCCUGACCACCAUCCAGCUCCCAGACCAUCACAGCCUUGUCCACAACCUUCCCUGAUAUUAGAGCUACAAAUACAAAACCAUCACUAACAUCAUGCCUGCAAAUCCUCAGACCAGCUCUAGGGCCCAUCCUGUACCUUCUCUUCUCUUUUCCUUAAUCCAAUAAAAAUCUAGUAAAUCUGUAUGCAGUGCCAAGCACUUAGCUAGAUGCUGUGGAGAUGAAGAUGAAUAAAACUCAAGUUUUCUUCAGUCUACUGGGGAAGACAAAAGGAUAGAUAUGUAGGGGCAGUAAAGAGAAGCACAGAUGAGGUUCAGAUGAGGUUCAGAGGUGGCCCAGGGUAAAAUUAAUCCUAGUUGAGAUUCCUCCAGAAUGUGGCAAUCUGCUGGAGGAGGCAGUUCAGAGCUUGGCCUUAUAAAAUACCAAGAUCUUACAUGUAGGGCUCAGGGGUCAGACAUGAUUCAGACCUAGGGAGGCUAUGUGGAAGAGCACAGGGGCAUGGAACAGUGUGUUUAAGGAACUAUAAUCAGGAGUGUUAUUAAAUCAUAAGGGCAGUAGGUAUUUGGAGGCGGAGCUGGGAGUGGCCAGGGACACCUUCACCCUCUUAUAAUUUAUCCUCAGCGGGAAAGCCAGAAGUUGUCCUGGUAAAAUGCAAGUAAGAUCAGAUCCUGCUCCACAACCCCCUCCCUCCAGGCAGAAGCCCAAGUCUCCCAGGCUCUGCGUGAUCUGCCCCCUUUCCUCUCCCCUCCUGUGUUUUUCUGUUGCACUCAGAAUUACCCAAUCACUUAAUAAUUUCCUUUACUGCUGGUCUCUCUCAUGAAAAUACAUACUCUGAGGACAGAGGUUUCCGAUGUUCUGUUCAUGGCUGUAGCCCAGCUUCUGCAACAGUGCUUGACACAUAGUAGACACCCAAUCAGUAUUUGUCAUCUGAGUGAACACUCAUCUUUGAGGCCAAAACAAGAAUGUUGCCCUGAAAUCAUUGGAAAGCCAUCAGAGGGUUUUAAGCAGGCAGAAACAUGAGGGAUUUGUGUGUUUGUAGAUCACGCUGAAGGCUUCAUGGUUUCUCUUGACUGGAGUAAGGGGCAAGCCAGGGGCUUGGAAAACAGGUUACUGCAACCAACUGGGAUUUAAGUAAGUGAAAGAGAAGCAAUGACAGUGGAACAGAGAGAAAAGGCUGGCUUUAAAAUAUAUGCCAAAAGUGGACUUGGCAUUCUCGAAGGCUAAUGCUCAGGAUGAGGGAGCAGAAGGAAAAAGUCUGAGAUGACUCUUGGGGCCCUGAAUCGAAAUAGGAAAAGUGGGAGCAGCAGGAGCAGAAUCGAUGCAGUGGGAAACAAGGUGUUAAUAUACUCUUUCCAGGGUCCUGUGUAAGUGAGGAAAGGGCCGCCAUCACCAGUGUUGCAUGGACAUGCUGCCGUGAGAAGGGCGGUCCGUGUAUGCCAGGGAUUAAGUUUCUCAGUUGAAAGUUUCAGUGAAUCCAAGACCAAAUUAAAUGUUUAUUCAUUCACACUUUCAUCAGAAUCGUACCUGUUCAUGACUACAGGUGCUGUGGUUUGGGAGAGAUAUACUCUGCCUAGAAUUCCAUCUAGAAACAGGUACAUAAACAAUGAAAACAAUAAACACAGUCCACCAACUGUUACUGUGGAGGCAUUAAUAACGUGCAAAGGGAGCACAGAGGAUCCUCGCUGAUAUUCAGUGAAUGCUGUUUGAAUGAGUAACUUACUCUUCAGGGGUUGGAGAGGAAAUAAAGUCCCUGAAAAUUAGGAAAAUUGGUGAUGAGGUGGGGUCAGGGAAGGGAGACGGGGCAGAGAUGGAAUUCCAGGGAGAUAAAGGGACAAGAGCGAAGGCAAAUCCUUUGAUACUGACUGAGUGCAAGACAUGGUUGGGGAGGAAAGUGGCUGAAGGUGUCAGGGCCAAGUUGGGAGAGAUUUGAAUGCCAUCAUACUUAAGCUUUGUCCCACAGCUGCACGUAACAAAAUGUUUCAGAGAGGGGGAGUGAUAUGCCACCACCGGCGUUUUGAAGUUGGUUUGGAUAAUAUUGUGAGGACUUUUGCAGGGAGAAGGGACUGAAGGGGCAGAGUGCAAGUGGGGGGUGAUCACAGUGGUCCAGGAUACAGACAGUGAUGCUUGAACAGGUGUUACGAUGUAGAGGAGGGCAUGGAAACGGGAAAUAAUUCAGAAGUGGAACUCAUCAGACUUACAGACUAAUUCAGGCUUUUUUUUGUGUGUGACUUUUUAGGGCUGUACCCAUGGCAUACGGAGGUUCCCAGACUAGGGAUCAAAUUGGAGCUAUAGUCCCCAGCCUAUGCUGCAGCCACAGCAACACCAGAUCCUUAACCCACUGAGUGAGGCCAGGGAUCGAACCUGCAACCUCAUGGGUGCUAGUCAGAUUUGUUUCUGCUAAGCCACGAUGGGAACUUAAUUUAGGCUUAUUAGAGAGAAAGAAAAGCCUGAGAUGAAUCAAAGUUUCUUGUUUAAGAAGGUGAGUGGAUGAUGAUUUCUUUCACCAAGAGGAUGAGCAGAUUUGAAGGAGGAGGAAAAUCAAUGUGUGGGAUAAACUGUGCUUUGGAUGCCUGUGCUUGGGACCAGAAAGUACUGGUGAGUGUUUUGAGUCUGAGUCCCCUUCCCUAGUAGGUCAUCCAGGGGGUUAGGCUGGCAUUUGCAGUGUCGGCAGGGCUAGGGCUGGUAGCAAGAGGGCCUUUAAUUCAUAGAAAUUGGUGCAAGAGCAGUGGUGCGUGACAUCAGUAAUUAAAGGGCACAGAUCAUGAUUAGGUCAUUAUGAGAAGAGCAGUCCCAAAUGGUCAUCCAAAGAGUAGUGGCUCUGGGCUGGUAGCAGGAGGCAGAAAUCAAAGCCAUGAUAGCAGAAGCAAGUAAGGCUGAGAAAGUCUGGAUAGGGCCAAGUGGGACAGACACUACUCAGUGCUGAGCUCCGGCUGCUCCUCAAGGCGGGAAGGCUGGACCUAAGGGGACCCAAGUAGAGUGGUAAGUUUGAGCAACUUCUUCUUCUUUCAUGGAAAGGUCAAAGAUCAAAUCUGCGUUUGUUUAUUUCUUUUGCUAAGUUUGCGUAUCAAGAUAUCCUUUCGUGGGAGUUCCGUUGUGGCUCAGCAGGAACAAACCUGACUAGGAUCCACCAGGAUGUGGGUUCAAUCCCUGACCUCGCUCAGUGGGUUAAGGAUCUGGCAUUGCUGUGAGCUGUGGUGUACAUCACAAAUGCGACUUGGAUGCCACUGUGGCCUAGGUUGGUGCCUAUGACCCUGAUUUGACCCCUAGACUGGGAACUUCCAAAUGCCACAGGAGCAGCCCUAAAACAACAACAAAAGAUGUCCUUUUGUGAUUCACAUUGUAGCCUGGGCAAUUUCAUGCCAAAGAUAAACUUGUGUCUUCUUUCUGAACAUGGAGAGCUGUAGGGAAGGAAACCAUCAGGAGACGAGGUUCAUGCUCAAUGCUAAGAGUGACUUUCUUUACUUGGAAGAUUUCUUUUACAUUUCAUGAUCUAGGUGAUAGGAAUGGUAGAGCCAUUGACUUUCCAUUCCAUAGACUCUCACUUACCCACCUAUUUAUUCACUCACUUAAUAAGUAUCUGAGGGCCAGGCAUGAGCUUAGCACUAGGGAUGCAGCAAUGAGGAAGAUGUAAGUAGUCCUUCCCUCAGGAGCUUGCAGAAAAGAUGAGUGAUGCUGAAAAGGAGAAGGCAGUAUAUUAGCUACUCAGAGGGAUGUAAAGAUAGGUGGAGGUGCUGCCCUGAAGAAGUUUACAAUAUAGUACUGAAAUUAAGUCAGGCACAGACACAAACAACCAUAUCCCCUAUCCCUAUAUAAAUAUGUACUGCUUCGUCCUAAAGAAUGUAUGUGAAGCUGCUCACAGGAGCCUCCACAAGAAAAUGAUGUUACAUGUAAAUUAGGAAAAUUUUAAAUAUACUAAAUCAUGAUUGGAGUUCCCACUGUGUCUCAGUGGGCUAAGGCCCCUAUAUUGUCUCUGUGAAGAUGCCAGUUCAAUCCCUGGCCUCACUCAGGGGGUUAAGGAUCCGGCAUUGCCAUGGCUGAGGCAUAGGUCACAGAUGAGGCUCGGAUCCAGUGUUUCUGUGGCUGUGAUGUAGCUGCAGCUCCAAUGCAACCCCUGGCCUGGGAACUUCUGUAUGCCGCAAGUG